UACGUAGGGUGCAAGCGUUAAUCGGAAUUACUGGGCGUAAAGCGUGCGCAGGCGGUUAUGUAAGACAGUUGUGAAAUCCCCGGGCUCAACCUGGGAACUUCAUCUGUGACUGCAUAGCUAGAGUACGGUAGAGGGGGAUGGAAUUCCGCGUGUAGCAGUGAAAUGCGUAGAUAUGCGGAGGAACACCGAUGGCGAAGGCAAUCCCCUGGACCUGUACUGACGCUCAUGCACGAAAGCGUGGGGAGCAAACAGG
rnacentral:rRNA from 1 species